rnacentral:rRNA from 1 species
UAGCGUAGGGGGCUAGCGUUGUCCGGAAUCAUUGGGCGUAAAGAGCGUGUAGGCGGCUCGGUAAGUCCGCUGUGAAAGUCCAGGGCUCAACCCUGGAAUGCCAGUGGAAACUGUCGAGCUAGAGUCCGGAAGAGGCGAGUGGAAUUCCUGGUGUAGCGGUGAAAUGCGCAGAUAUCAGGAGGAACACCAAUGGCGAAGGCAGCUCGCUGGGACGGUACUGACGCUGAGACGCGAAGGCGUGGGGAGCAAACAGG